rnacentral:lncRNA from 1 species
CAGAGCUCGCACUUACGCAUUUAUAAUCCAAAGAAGGCCAAGGGUAACUGGUAACUCUCAGAAGCAGAAAAAGAAGCUUGGGACGGACUCCCCUUCAGAGCUCUGUAGGGACCAAUUUUGCUGAUGCUGUCUCUUCCAGAUCCUUCAAGAUUGGAAAAAGAAGGUGAUGAGCAUUUUUAAACUCAGUUCACUGAGCACUGAGCAAUUGCUUAAGGGAAGGUCAAAGAACAGAAAAAAAUAUUUGAAGAAAAGAAGAAAAGAUCUAACCUUCAUUAUACAGGUGCAAACAGGAUUGCACAGAUUGCCUUUUGUGAUAAAAAGAGGAAGAAAAAUGGCAGCAACCCAGAUUAUUAUUAUACUUAAAUGGUCUCUCACACUUUAUGAAGAUCUUUGUGUAAAAGUAUUAAGCAGUCCAUUUAACAGAGAAGUAUGUUUGUUUCACAUGUAUCAGAAAAUGUGAGUCUUAAUUAAAAUAGAUCCUGACGUCAAAAAAAAAAAAA